rnacentral:rRNA from 1 species
GGGGGAUAAUCGUCGGAAACGGCGUCUAAUACCCCGUAUGAAGCUGGACGGCAUCGUCUGGUUUUGAAAGAAUAUCGGAGACGGAUGGGCAUGCGGCGCAUUAGCUAGUUGGCGGGGUAACGGCCCACCAAGGCGACGAUGCGUAGGGGUUCUGAGAGGAAGGUCCCCCACACUGGUACUGAGACACGGACCAGACUCCUACGGGAGGCAGCAGUGAGGAAUAUUGGUCAAUGGGCGAGAGCCUGAACCAGCCAAGUCGCGUGAGGGAGUACUGCCCUAUGGGUUGUAAACCUCUUUUGUCGGGGAGCAAAAGUCGGACGUGUCCGUCUGUGAGAGUACCCGAAGAAAAAGCAUCGGCUAACUCCGUGCCAGCAGCCGCGGUAAUACGGAGGAUGCGAGCGUUAUCCGGAUUUAUUGGGUUUAAAGGGUGCGCAGGCGGAUUUUUAAGUCAGCGGUCAAAUCGUGGGGCUCAACCCCAUCCAGCCGUUGAAACUGGGAUCUAGAGUGUGCGAGAGGUAUGCGGAAUGCGUGGUGUAGCGGUGAAAUGCAUAGAUAUCACGCAGAACCCCGAUUGCGAAGGCAGCAUACCGGUGCACAACUGACGCUCAGGCACGAGAGCGUGGGUAUCGAACAGGAUUAGAUACCCUGGUAGUCCACGCAGUAAAC